rnacentral:misc_RNA from 1 species
UGUAAUUUUCACCAAGUUUAUACUGCGUUAAAAAACGCGAAGAAGGUCAUUCUCAAGUUUACUUCUUUGUUAAUCAGUCCAUCCUUUUGUUAAUCUUUGUUAUUUCUAAAUGCAGGAGUUCUGGUCCCGAGUAGCGUAGAAGUAGUUAGAUAAAAUGUAGGUAACUGUGUCUUAAGCGUUUCUUUAAAAUAAUAGAUGGUCUGAAUAACAAGUCAGGAAAAUAGUAAAGUACUAGACUAACACAGAAGAUAAUUGGGUAAAACGUCAUAAGGCGGAAUAAAACCAAAUCUAAGAUAAAUAAAUGGAAUAAAUCAUGUAUCAAAAAAUACUGGCAAGGCGACCACAUAGGAGAUCGGAAAAUUCUUUCUAGUAUCCCCUGUCUAGUCAUAGGGUACCAAUGAGUUAAAAGAAGAAUUAUUCUAAUCCCCGGCAUCUUUGAACGCCAGAACCCUUAGUUUUAGGCGCUUGUGAUGUGUAGCUAUAAUCAAAUUUCGAGAGGUCGGAA